rnacentral:tRNA from 1 species
GCCAGAGUGGUGGAACGGCAGACACACCGGCUUUAGGUGCCGGCGCCUUCGGGUGUGCGGGUUCAACUCCCGUCUCUGGCA